GAAGCAGGUGGCGCUUCGUGCAUCAGAAACCGAAACAGAAACUAGCAAAGCCAACCUUUUUUUUUUUUUUUGUAAGCGUUAAUCUCGUUCUCAGCGCUCGGAAGUUAUUCUAUUAGUUUGUUGCAGGGCGUCCGUGUCAUUGAAAGAUUCAGUCCCAGUUUAAAUGGUUUAAAUUCUUCAAACAGUUUGUAUUUUUUGCACCGCCAGUACACAGAAGCGUUUUAUAACGAUCUGUAUUGAUAAAUCGAUAUGUGGCCAUUGUUUAUUGCGUUUUGAAAAGCACUCGCUUCGUCUUUCCAACAAGACGCGUAGGUUCGGCGCUCCGAUUUGCAUUUAAGCUGUCAUCUUCUCGGAAGCAGGCGCUCAUGCUUGGAGACCUGCAGAGCACGAACUGCAGCAUGUAUGCCGAAAUAAACAGCUAUUGCCUAUUUAAAAUAGAACAAA